CAAUAGCGUAUAUUAAAGUUGUUGCGGUAAAAAAGCUCGUAGUUGGAUUUCUACCGAAGAUAGCCGGUCGGGUCUUCGACCUUGUAUCUGGUUUUGUCUUUGGUAUCCUCAUAGGGAACGUUUCUGCGCUUUAUUGCGUGGUGCGGUAUCUAUGACUUUUACUUUGAGGAAAUUAGAGUGUUCACGGCAGGCAAACGCCUUGAAUAUAUCAGCAUGGAAUAAUAACAUAGGAUCUUCGUCCUAUUUUGUUGGUUUCUAGGGCUAAGAUAAUGAUUAAUAGGGAUAAUUGGGGGCAUCUGUAUCAACGCGUCAGAGGUGGAAUUCUUGGAUUGCGUUGCGACAAACUACUGCGAAAGCAUUUGCCAAGGAUGUUUUCAUUGA
rnacentral:rRNA from 1 species